GGGAAGAGGAGCGUGCAGGAGCCGCAGGGCGGAGGAAGGCGGGGAUCGCGAGGGCGCGGGCCAGGGAAGAGUCCCCGGGGCGGCUGGGCGGGUGGCGCCCGGAGCUCGACUGGGGGUCGCGGUGGAGAUGAGGCGGCAGCCAGCGGGGAGAUGAGGCGGCAGCCAGCGGGGAGAUGAGGCGCUGCGCGAGGAAGCAGGAUCCGAGAGGGCGAGCCCGCUGUCCGCACCUGCGUGUCCGGGAGCGGGCAGGCAGAGGACUACGUGCUUAGCGUGGGACGGUGUCUAUGUUCCCUCCUGUCACUGGGCCUGGCAGAGACCCCAUUCAGGCUCAAAACGUUCAGUGGGACAGGAACCAAAGUACCUCAUGAUGUGUCAAGACAAACCUGGAAAGACUAGGAGCUGUUAACUGGCCUGCCUCAAUGAAUCAUCUGGUACUUCUUUUUGUCUCUAGUUUUGAAAGCUUCCCAGAGGCAACCUGAAAUCCAGAAUCUUCUCAGAAUAGGAUGAGGGAAAUUCUGAAGUUUUCACUAAACACAUUUCUCCCUCAAGCUUUGGAAGGAGCCAGAAUGCCAAAGGCAAGAAUCCCUGAACAUCGCCUACA
rnacentral:lncRNA from 1 species